rnacentral:tRNA from 1 species
ACUCUUUUAGUAUAAUUCAAUACAAUUGCCUUCCAAGCAAGAAAUCUAAUAAUAGAGGGAGUA